GCAGGUUUUGAUGGAUGCCUUCGUCAGUGGCUGGGAGUUGACGACAUCUGUCGCGCCGAUGAAGUUUGCACCGCGAUCACUAACGCGCCACGACAUUCCUAGAAUCUUCCCAGUCAAGGCGCCCGUGCACAAAAUCGCACGCUUGUCCGUUCGAGUCCCGUGUUGCAACGUAUACAUCCCAUUACGGAUUUCGAAGCCACCUUUCGCUUCGAUGAUUCGAAUCUCUUCCGAUUGUCUGGUUCACGUGUGAACACGUGGUAAUUGCCGUAAGCGUUUGCGUCUUGCCGCAAGGAUCCACGGGGAUACGGUCCGAAGGCGAUCCAAUCUAAGCGGGUUUUGAUGGCGGCUGGCUCCUGUUUCCUUCCCUCCACGAAUGCAAAUGGACGCAUUAGCUGUCAAUUAUCGAUGCCGAUGAGAAUUUGCGGUGUCACGUCGGAAUAAGAUCGCAACUUUAGACCUUCCAGAUGCUUAUACUUUCUAGACGUAGCAUCUGCUGAAAAAAAUGGUGAAGUCUCGCCGGUCCCUCUGACGCACAACGGAUGCGGUGUCGCUUUAAGACUCAUUUCCACGAUCAAAAUCUCUUCAAUGGACAUUCCCGUUGAACCACUAUAAAAAACACGUACGUCUCCACGGCCUUAUUGUCGCCAAAUAAAACCAGAGCGGGUAUUGCUGCAGUCGAGGCCGGAGUUCUGGUCAGCUCAACGGUUUCAAUCUGUUGCUGCAAAAUACUCACUUGAAGCCUUUCUGACUGUAGUUUCACUAUAUGUAUCUGGAGAUCGUUUUGUCGGCGCAGGAUAUCGGAAUCCAUCACUGCUACUUCUUCCCAGCUCAUCCGAAACGGAUCAAGCGACGUUUAUCGGCCAUCGAGCCAUGGCUGUGGAUUUCGCUGCGAUGGCGUAGUGACACUCGUCGAUGGCGUCUGUUGGCGUCUCUCAAAGUGUGAUGUUAUCGGUAGAUUUGGUAUGGUGGAUGUGAAGUUGAGUGUUGCGGCAUUCGUCAGCGUAAUCGGUGUCGCGAGUGUGGAAGAGUGUGCCGUUCUUACGUCGUCUUCGCGAGUCGCGCUAACCGUGGUUGCUGGUUCGCGUCGUUGACCGGAGUUGACCCCACUUGACCCCGGGUCGGUGGUGUGUGCCGCGAACGAUUGCGGCGCUUGGCGUGGAUUUCUACCCAUACUGCUGGGAUCUGCAGUACGCAGAUCUACCUGUUCCAGCCUCGUCUACCUGGAAGUUUUCCGCGUCGCAUAUCUUCCAUGGUAAUGUGUUCGCUUCCCGCUCCGACGCUAGGCUGUCGCGAUUCAGAAUCGCUCACAAACGACACUUAGCGUCUUGCGGUACGAGAAUUCACUCCUAGUGAUCGCUUAUUAUGGACCACGACCGUACUAUGUGAUUCGGAAUCGGUGGAGUGACAUAUGUGAUUCGGAAUCACAAACGGACUGUCCGGAGUUUGUUCCGCAUGAUACUUUGGUUACGGUUACGACACUUAGCUGCGGUGUUGCCCUAGUGUUCUUACGCGACGUACGUGUGUGCGUGGAAUUGCGUAUUCGCUACCGUUACAUUUAAAAAUGUGCUUACCAUCGUUCAAUUCCACUAGAAGAGAGGUUCAACAUUUGGACCAUCUAAAGUUUCUCCGUCGUCAAAAGCAGUUUGGAAGCACCCGUAAGGACCUUUAAAAUGUCUGCUCUUGUUGGUUUUCGUGGUAUUUCCGAAAAAUUCGUCUUGAAGGUUUUGUCACUUCCCGACAUUUUCCUCAAGACAAGCACUGCCCACAAAAACUAACUGUUAGUAAUUUGGAAAGCACAUUUGGUUUUUUGUCAUUUCUCUCGACCCUACAGUCAUUUACUCCACUAUACGACCACCUGUUGUUUUUGAUUUUUUAAACAACAAAAUUGGUUUUAUUUGACAAUAAUAUUUACAUUAAUAGGUCGCUUUGAACAUCCUGACAGGUAUCCUCCUAUUUAGUGUUUACGCUGUAGUUUUCUACCGAAUUUAAUUAAUUUGAAGAAAAUAAGUCAUAUUUUUAUGAAGACCAGUUAUACUAACUGGUAGAGGAAGGUCACUUAAGCUGCCUUCAUGAAAGGAAUCAUCCCAUAUAUUAUUUGAAUCUACUUAAUCUAUCUUACGUACCUAAAGUAUCUAACUAACUAACCUAAAUUAUCUUAUUUUAAACAAGGCAAUAUUUAUAAUAUGUACAUUUUCAAAUCUCUUGCCUAAUCAUCAAGGAACAACGUCUGAAUCAUCCUAAAAUUGGAUGAGAGACAUUUAUGUUUAAGGUUAUCCAGAUUUUGUUGGAUCUGAUCCCCGUCAAUCCUUGACGGGUGAUUGAGGAUCAUUUUCAAAAAUUUGUUUUGUAUUCGCAGUACAGCAAGGAUACUCCUGUUGGAGCAUGACCCCCAGAUGUGUGAUCCAUAUAGAAUUGCAGGUAGUAUAACUUGUAUGUACAGUAUAAGUUUGCUUUCUAUUGUAAGAGUGGACCGUCUUUUGAUAAGAGGAUAUAGACUGAGUAGAAGACCGCAUGUUUAGAUUAAAGCUUUUCAAUAUGAGCGUUAAAUGUCAGGAGGCUAUCUAGUGUAAUGCCGAGAUACCGCAUGGUAGGGGUCCAGGGGAGUGGAUUGUCGUGGAUUGCUAUUUGAAUCACUUUCCGUUGGAUUGUCGCCAUAGUACGCUUUCGGUAAGGUAGAACAAUGGCCUGCAUUUUACUGCUGUUCACCAGUAUCUUCCACCCAAGCGAACGAUUUCGUUGCUUUUUGGAACGUUUUUUGACUAAGAUUUGACCGUCCAAACACGGUCAAAAAACAUUAAAAAUAGCAGACGGAUUUGACCAUUUGCUCUUCACAGGCUCUCACUCUCUUUUCCUUUGCAAAAAAAUGGUCAAAAAACGGUUACUUUAUUGACUGUAUUUGCAUGGGAGACGAACAGGCAUAUACAAGCAAAAAAAAGUAUAUAUGGUGUUGUUCCUUGUUUGGCUUGGUUUUGCUUUGUCGCCAACGCGUUUUUUUUGUGGUAUUUAUUUCAUGUUCGCUCUUGUUCUUCACACGUGUUUGUUCUUGUCGCUUUCUUCUAUGUGUAGGAUGGAUGAUUGCACCAGAGGAGACGUUUUGUGGCUUGGCUAGGGGGGAAGUGUGAGGUGUAUCGAUAUUGUGCGAAUUAGUUUGCGCGGGUUUUGUUCCAGGCGAGUGCAGACGCUUUUUUUUACAGGAGCUGUAGUAAAUAGGUAAAGUAAGAACGGGAAUAGAACUUGGUUAUGAUCGGAUUUACCUUGUUUGUUUGAUGUGUUUACGAUUUGAACCACCGAGGCUGUGUCGUAUGUGAUUGUUAUGAGAUAGGUUUUGUUCUAAGCUAUGCAUGUUGAGAAUUAUACCGUAUGUGUACCGUGUCUGUGAAAAGACGAUACAAUUUAAUGGAAAAAGCUUGCCAACUAUGCAUACCGUUUUGACAAUUUGUUUGUAGGAACCGAUAAUGCAAAUUAUUUUGCAUUAACAAAUAAGCGUUUCUUUGUUUGAUGUUUUAAAAGUAAUCGGGAAUCAUGUCUUAAGAAAAAAAUUAGCAAUUAUAUUCAGUUAAGCUCUAUUUUUUUUUUUAUUUUGCAUUGUCCUGUAUCAUUGGGACAUGUUUAAACGUGCACGCACAGCACAACUUGCUGCAAUUCGCGCGACAUGCCUCCAGAACGGAAAGUAGAGUAAAAAUUUACAGCGUUUAACUUGUUAAAUAUUUACUUUCUCACAAAAGCAGGCUCAGUUUUAGUAAAGUUAUCUCUUAAUUUGUAAUUUGAUAUGCAUGUAUAUAUCAAAAAUACGGUUGUUAUGGCUUAUGUAUAUAUUCAACAGCAAAAGUUCCUCUUCUCAUCUCAUUCCUCUUUUAAACACUCAAUCCACCCAACCGCAUGGAAAUUUCCAUAGAGUUCUUCUCGCUUUCCUCGGUUCCACUUACUCCUUCAUAACAUCCGAUCUGCAAAUAUCCUUACCCUGACCUCACGCAUGUAGGAAGGAGGAUAUCCUUACCCUGACCUCACGCAUGUAGGAAGGAGGAUAUCCUUACCCUGACCUCACGCAUGUAGGAAGGAGGAUAUCCUUACCCUGACCUCACGGAUGCAAGGAAGAACAAAAGAUUACCCUGGCCGAUCGUAACAAAUUCGCGAGUAUUGGGCUGUGUACGCAUCGGUCAGGGUGCAUAACUACUCAUGCUGACACUCCUUCGCAUUGCGGACUCCUUCGCACUGCUUAAAAAUUUCGCUAUUCCAAAAAGGAUAUAAAAAGGGGUUGCAACCCUAAUUAACGAGAGUUGUCUUAAAACCUUCGUACACAAGAGUUGUUGUAACCAUCGGAAAGUUCAGUUGCUAACCUAAGCUAUCAGUUACGCGUCACACAAGCAAAUAAAGUGUUAUAGUGAAAACCAAUUCAGAUUGCUUCAAUCAUUGUGUCGAAACAACAGUUGAAAAUCAUAACAUCAAACUUUGCAAAAGAUUCGAAAUGGAAACGACAAAUAAGGAGGACAUGUGGUGUGAGGACACCUACGAAGAAGUUGGUACAAACCAAGUUCCAACCAUUCAGUUUCCAAAUAUUCCAAACCUCCAAAUAAUCAAAAUAAUAGGGGAACCACAGCUCAAUUCCACGAACAAUAAAAAUAACCUUGCAGUCGACAUGCAACCAUGUAAUUCUUCUUGUCAUGCCAACACCGAGAAAUGCGCGAAUCGAGCAAUCCAACCAGAUGAAAUUUGCGGCAAUGAACAAACUAACAAAAGAGCAAAAUUGUCUUCAGAAGCAGAGAUUGCGGAGCUUAGAGCCAAAGUGGAUCGGUUAGAGAAAGAAAAUAAGUAUUUAAAGGAUCUUAUAGACAAUAAACUUGAUAUACUUAUUAGAAAUUCAGCCCGGCAUCGAGAAGCCGUAGAGGAGUUAGUCGCUGUAAGUUGUCCUAGGCAAGGUCUACUUUCUAGGAACGAAUUUGAGCUA